AAGAGAAGGGUACGAAUUCCGCGUGUCCAAGCACCAGAAAGUGAAUUAACAACCGCAUUUCAAAUUCCCUCUCCUACAGGUUAAAACGAAUCUAUUUCCUAGUUGCUCAUCUCACAUCCAGUAUUGCCUCCUCCCAACUGCCAAACCAUACCCAAAUCUCUAUCUCUCUCUUGGUUAGGGUUUUUGCAAUCCAAUCCGAGAGUAAAUAAAUCAAGAGUUCAUGGGAUGCAAAUAAUUACGGUCUCUAAUAGGUCCUAAUGUUGAGCUCUUCUUGCUCUCAAUCUCUAUACCAGCGAUGCCCAAUUCUUCUCUCCUCCAUUUCUAGACUCAGGGUUAUUAACAGACCUGGGAAUUUUCCUCUUUCGACCCCGUAUGCUCAGAUCUUCGAAUCGCGUUCCAAAUUAUCAAAAAAUGUAAGUAUCACUUCAAUUGCAGUUUUUCCCUUCCUUUUCAAUACAAUAGAAAUUUAAGUCUACUUUGGUUGCUCGGAAAAUGUAAGGAAUAUUAGAACCUCAGAAAUUAGAAGCUUUUCAACUGCCUCCAACCGAGCUAAUCUUGAAGCAGUUGAUGCAGAUGAUUUCCCAUUACAUUCUCACUUUUUUGUCAGAAGCCUGAUACUUUAGCAAAUUUAAGAUUAUUAUUGAUUUGGUUGAUCAUCUGUGUGAUUGAUAUAAGUAAACUAGUAAUUUGUUUAGUAUUUGGUUUUUAAUUGUUCACUUGAUUAUUUUGCAGAAAUGGAAAAUUUCAUGUUUUAGACAUGAGGAUUUUUCUCCCGUAAAUCCCAAGUCUGAUGGUGUUGAACACUGUCUGCCUGAGAAACUGGUGAAGAAGCCCGAACUCAGUAAUCCAACUGAUGUUAAAAAGGAUUGGAUAUCAAAUCUUCGAGAGGUAUGUUUCUCCUUUGGGUUCAAUUUUGUGGUAUAACUUGUUUUGGAGCUGCAGAAACUUAUUAUCAAGUUAACCAAUAACUGCAAUUCCAAUUCCAUGUGAAGAUAUUCUCCAAGUAGAGAAUAAACUUUUGAAUGAUGUUAGGUUUAAGGUCGUAACUUGGUCAACUUUAAUCCUUUUUCUUGUACGUUGAGUGCUUUGUCCUGGUAUUCAAAUGAAGGUGUUGGAACUUGGAAGCUUUACCUUGUGGAGUUAUAGGAUGAAAUUUAAUACUUAACAUGGUUUAAGACCACUGAAGAUCACACCUUCCUUCUUUGGACAUGCAAAGUGUGUGGAGCUAAUGUGGAGUGUUCCAGAGAAUUCAUAAAUACUGUAUGAUGUCCUGCAGAAUUCAGAUGUACUGCUUCUGCUUCUGCUUGUUACAAGUUUAAUUUUUCAACAUGUUGCUAGGAACUAUUGGUUUUUCCACUGUGAUGAUUAAUUAGAUUUAAACUAGUUGAUUAAUAUUUCCUAACUUUGUUGAAGAACUUUAUGCCAUGCUAUCUGUUGUUUAAUGGAUUUUCCUUGGCAAGUUGGCAUUUGCUUUGUAGGUGACUCUUUUGGGCAUCUCAUAGUUUAGUUUGCUAUGUUUCAGGCUGCAGAUGUUGUGUUCCGGGCAAUGGGGAGCCGAUGGACUGUACCCUGGACAGCGGAGACCAUAAUGCAGGUAAGCUUUGUCCACAUGGUUACUAUAUGUUGGGAAAUGUGGUAAAUAAGAACUAGAUAGUAAUCUUUGUAUUCUCAUGGAUUUUUUUUUUCAAUAAUUAUUUGCUUAUUGCUAUCUAAAUAAUUUUCAUUGACCAUUCAAAGUUAACUAAGAUUCUGAUUUUUUUUGUUGGAAAUGAAAUAACUUAAUUGAACCUGUACAAAUGAACUUUCUGUGAAAACCAAUAUUUACUCCUUUUUUGUAGACUAGUCAAUUUUAGCAUGAGUGGUCCCACUUGCUCUGUAAGUUGAAUUGUUCUAUUUAAUGAUUGGAUACAAAGCCAGCAACCAAACUAUAUAUGGUGCUGCAGGUGAUGCUUCUCUGGGUUGUCUCAUUCUGGUUUAUAGGUUCCUGGGUGAUUCCUUUUGCGGCCCACAUGGCAGGUGUCAGCAAGGAAUCUCUUACAUUUAGAGGACAGGCCUUGUUCAGCCUUGUGACUGAUGUAACUGAAGGCAUUGCUGGAAUUGCAAUCCUCCAUCGCUGCUUGUCUCGGUUUCAUCCCCUUCCAUCUGAUUGGUUUAGGUUUAGCCUGAAAGGUAACUGGCUAUUUGAUGUUGCUCUUGGAUGCUUCAUGUUUCCCUUGGUCAACCGGCUUUCACAGUUCAACCUUAGCCUAUUGCCUAUUCUACCUUCUACGCCUGUUACAAUGUCAAGUGUUGAGCAGUCAAUUGCAGCAAGGGAUCCAGUGGCAAUGGUGCUGUAUGCGAUAGUAGUUUCAGUGUGUGCCCCUGUGUGGGAGGAGAUAGUCUUUCGGGGUUUCCUUCUUCCUUCCUUAACCAGGUACAUGCCUGUAUGGUGUGCAAUCCUGGUGAGUUCAGUUGCCUUUGCUCUAGCACAUUUCAAUGUACAGAGAAUGCUUCCACUUAUUUUUCUCGGGCUGGUGAUGGGUGUUAUUUUUACAAGGUCAAGGAAUUUAAUGCCGUCUAUGCUUUUGCAUAGCCUCUGGAAUGGCUUUGUGUUCUUAGAUUUAAUGAGAUAACUUAUUAGCCUUGUAUUUCACAUAUAGAUGAUGAAUCGGUCGAUCCUAUCUCAGACGUGUAUAUGUGGACUAAUAUUGUGGGCUAUGCUCUUUUCAAAGAUGUUGAACGCCAGCGCCCUGAUAAGGCCUACUGCUUUGCAAUGUUGAAUUGUUGAUUGACACUCAUCUUCAGAAUGCUUUGUCGGUCCAGCGAACAGAAUGCAAAUAGUAUUGACAGAGAUUGAUAGGCCAAUCUAUAAUUUGUCCACUUAAAGAAUCAGUCCAGUACAUCUUUCGUGUCUGUAAUUAUACCAGAGACAAAGGGGAACAAGGACCCUUUGGCCCGCAGAGGCUUGCUUGUCAACAUUGUACAACUCUCAACUCACUAAAUGAGUACUCUAUUUUUCCUGUAAUAUAUUUAUAAUCAUUCUACAAGAAUCUAGAAAAGAAAAGGGCUCUAUUUUGUGUUAUAAUAAAUUUUUUGUGCAUACAUUAAUUUUAUGGCAUAAUUUUUUCUUUGUAU
rnacentral:misc_RNA from 1 species